UUUGUGUACAAGCCAUCUGUGCUUAGGUCUACGGAAUGAUAGGAGGAAGGAGACAUGUCGUUGAGUGUAUUCUCCUGCUUUGAUAGUCGAUGAACCAGGAGAUCCUGCUCUUGGGAUACUGCCAUAUGGGUAUGGGCCAGUAUAUGUCGUUGGUGCCUUAGUAGAAUUACCGGAGAUUGGUCGUUAGGCGGGGGCUGCUAAUGAAGAUCACAGGGUCUUCUUGCUCUAUGAUCGAUGGUUCCGACUACCAGGGUCGGUCCUUGGGUGCCUCUUGAUCUGUAGUUGAUGGUUCCGGCUACCAAGGUCGGUCCUUGG
rnacentral:lncRNA from 1 species